rnacentral:rRNA from 1 species
GAUGAACGCUGGCGGCGUGCCUAAUACAUGCAAGUCGAGCGAACGGACGAGAAGCUUGCUUCUCUGAUGUUAGCGGCGGACGGGUGAGUAACACGUGGAUAACCUACCUAUAAGACUGGGAUAACUUCGGGAAACCGGAGCUAAUACCGGAUAAUAUUUUGAACCGCAUGGUUCAAAAGUGAAAGACGGUCUUGCUGUCACUUAUAGAUGGAUCCGCGCUGCAUUAGCUAGUUGGUAAGGUAACGGCUUACCAAGGCAACGAUGCAUAGCCGACCUGAGAGGGUGAUCGGCCACACUGGAACUGAGACACGGUCCAGACUCCUACGGGAGGCAGCAGUAGGGAAUCUUCCGCAAUGGGCGAAAGCCUGACGGAGCAACGCCGCGUGAGUGAUGAAGGUCUUCGGAUCGUAAAACUCUGUUAGUAGGGAAGAACAUAUAUGUAAGUAACUGUGCACAUCUUGACGGUACCUAAUCAGAAAGCCACGGCUAACUACGUG